rnacentral:rRNA from 1 species
CCUACGGGAGGCUGCAGUGGGGGAUAUUGCACAAUGGGGGAAAGCCUGAUGCAGCAACGCCGCGUGAGCGAUGAAGGCCUUCGGGUCGUAAAGCUCUGUCCUCAAGGAAGAUAAUGACGGUACUUGUGGAGGAAGCCCCGGCUAACUACGUGUCAGCAGCCGCGGUAAUACGUAGGGGGCUAGCGUUAUCCGGAAGUACUGGGGGUAAAGGGUGCGUAGGUGGGUUCUUAAGUCAGAGGUGAAAGGCGACGGCUCAACCGCAGGAAGCCUUUGAAACUGGGAAACUGGAGUGCAGGAGAGGAGAGUGGAAUUCCUAGUGUAGCGGUGAAAUGCGUAGAUAUUAGGAGGAACACCAGUGGCGAAGGCGGCUCUCUGGACUGUAACUGACACUGAGGCACGAAAGCGUGGGGAGCAAACAGGAUUAGAUACCCUAGUAGUC